rnacentral:rRNA from 1 species
CCUACGGGAGGCAGCAGUGAGGAAUAUUGGACAAUGGGCGCAAGCCUGAUCCAGCCAUGCCGCGUGCAGGAUGACGGUCCUAUGGAUUGUAAACUGCUUUUGCACAGGAAGAAACAACAUUACGUGUAAUGUCUUGACGGUACUGUGAGAAUAAGGAUCGGCUAACUCCGUGCCAGCAGCCGCGGUAAUACGGAGGAUCCAAGCGUUAUCCGGAAUCAUUGGGUUUAAAGGGUCCGUAGGCGGUUUAGUAAGUCAGUGGUGAAAGCCCAUCGCUCAACGGUGGAACGGCCAUUGAUACUGCUAAACUUGAAUUAUUAGGAAGUAACUAGAAUAUGUAGUGUAGCGGUGAAAUGCUUAGAGAUUACAUGGAGUACCAAUUGCGAAGGCAGGUUACUACUAAUGGAUUGACGCUGAUGGACGAAAGCGUGGGUAGCGAACAGGAUUAGAUACCCUGGUAGUCCACGCCGUAAACGAUGGAUACUAGCUGUUGGAAGCAAUUUCAGUGGCUAAGCGAAAGUGAUAAGUAUCCCACCUGGGGAGUACGUUCGCAAGAAUGAAACUUAAAGGAAUUGACGGCUGAGACAGCGAGAGACACGAGGGAGGAGG